UAACGUAGGGGGCAAGCGUUGGUCCGGAAUCAUUGGGCGUAAAGCGGCGUGUAGGCGGCUUGGUAAGUCCGCUCUGAAAGCCCGGGGCUCAACCCCGGGGAGGCGGGUGGAUACUGCUGAGCUUGAGUCCGGAAGAGGCGAGUGGAAUUCCUGGUGUAGCGGUGAAAUGCGCAGAUAUCAGGAGGAACACCGAUGGCGAAGGCAGCUCGCUGGGACGGUACUGACGCUGAGACGCGAAAGCGUGGGGAGCAAACAGG
rnacentral:rRNA from 1 species